UACGUAGGGUGCGAGCGUUAAUCGGAAUUACUGGGCGUAAAGGGUGCGCAGGCGGCGUCGCAAGUCAGGCGUGAAAUCCCCGGGCUUAACCUGGGAACUGCACUUGUGACUGCAUAGCUAGAGUACGGUAGAGGGGGAUGGAAUUCCGCGUGUAGCAGUGAAAUGCGUAGAUAUGCGGAGGAACACCGAUGGCGAAGGCAAUCCCCUGGACCUGUACUGACGCUCAUGCACGAAAGCGUGGGGAGCAAACAGG
rnacentral:rRNA from 1 species